rnacentral:rRNA from 1 species
UACGGAGGAUCCGAGCGUUAUCCGGAUUUAUUGGGUUUAAAGGGAGCGUAGGUGGAUUGUUAAGUCAGUUGUGAAAGUUUGCGGCUCAACCGUAAAAUUGCAGUUGAAACUGGCAGUCUCGAGUUGGAGAGAAGUAUGCGGAAUGCGCGGUGUAGCGGUGAAAUGCAUAGAUAUCGCGCAGAACUCCGAUUGCGAAGGCAGCUUACAAAUCUAUAUCGGACGCUGAGGCACGAAAGCGUGGGGAGCAAACAGG